rnacentral:rRNA from 1 species
GGUACCUACAGAAGAAGCACCGGCUAACUAUGUGCCAGCAGCCGCGGUAAUACAUAGGGUGCAAGCGUUGUCCGGAAUUAUUGGGCGUAAAGAGCUCGUAGGUGGUUCGUCACGUCGGAUGUGAAAAUCUGGGGCUUAACCCCAGACCUGCAUUCGAUACGGGCGAGCUAGAGUGUGGUAGGGGAGACUGGAAUUCCUGGUGUAGCGGUGGAAUGCGCAGAUAUCAGGAGGAACACCAAUGGCGAAGGCAGGUCUCUGGGCCAUUACUGACACUGAGGAGCGAAAGCGUGGGGGAGCGAACAGGAUUAGAUACCCUGGUAGUCCACGCCGUAAACGGUGGGCACUAGUUGUGGGGACCUUCCACGGUUUCUGCGACGCAGCUAACGCAUUAAGUGCCCCGCCUGGGGAGUACGAUCGCAAGAUUA